AAGGAAUGACGAGCGGUAUGCUGAGGUUUGUGAUGAGUUGAAAAGGAGUCAAAUAGAAUGUGACGAGUUAAAGGAAAAAUUCACAAGGUUCGUUGAGGAUAAGAAAGUGUCAAGUGAUAGAGAGAAAAGGACAGAGGAGCAGCAUGCUAAGGUGUGUGAUGAGUUGAAAAGGUGUCAAAAAGAAUGUAAUGAGUUAAAGGAAAAAAACAUAAGGUUGCUUGAGGAUCGAACAGUGUCGAGAGACAGAGAGAGGAGAACCGAGGAGCGGUAUGCUAAACUUUAUGAUGAGUACUCGAAGGCGGAAAAUGAAAAACAUAAGAUCAUUCUUCACUUGAAUGAGAGGAUUAAGGAAUUGAAGAAUCAAAAAUUGGGAAGCCAGCAGGCUGCAGAGAUGUACAGGGAGAAAAUUAAGUCUCUGGACUUGAGGGUUUCACAAAUGAACUGGGAGGUGGAGAAGUUGAAGCGUGAGAAUUCAGAAGCUGAUCAGAUUGUGGAGGAGUUGAGGUGCAAAAAAUUGGAGGCUGAUCAUACCGUGGAAGUUUAUAAGAAGAAGUUUGAAGAUCUUAGUUCGAGGUUUGGCAACACAGAGCAGAUUCUUGCCAAGAUUUUCAAAGUGGGGGUAAAUGAUCUUUCGAAUCUGGCAACUAAUAUAGAGAACGAUGUUAGUUUCUCGACUUGUGAUUGUGAAAAGGACAGUUCAGGGAAUGGUGGUAAACGGAGUGGAGGGAAUGAUGAUUUUGAAAAUCUUGAUUUGGAGCAUUUUGGAAAUGAAAGGAGUCCAAUGAAGGGUGCUGAUGCAGGUGACACAUUGCCUAUAGCUCACUCUGCUUGUAAAUAUAGUGGAACUGGAUUUAAUGGCUUACAAGAAAGAGGUACUGUAAAAUAUUGAUUAAUGUUAGUCUGCUUGUUGCGUUCUGUCACUAGGCAAACAAGCAUUCUAAAAUCUGUAUGAUUAGUUGGAAUCAAUUUCUUCAAAUCCUCUGCUUUAGACUCACCUUCACGUGUUCUAUAAAUAAAAUUCUUAUGUUAAAAUUUUUAAUUUUUGACACAUUGCCUAUAGCUCACUCUGCUUGUAAAUAUAGUGGAACUGGAUUUAAUGGCUUACAAGAAAGAGGUACUGUAAAAUAUUGAUUAAUGUUAGUCUGCUUGUUGCGUUCUGUCACUAGGCAAACAAGCAUUCUAAAAUCUGUAUGAUUAGUUGGAAUCAAUUUCUUCAAAUCCUCUGCUUUAGACUCACCUUCACGUGUUCUAUAAAUAAAAUUCUUAUGUUAAAAUUUUUAAUUUUCUGGUUGCUUUUAUCUUUGUUCCUGG
rnacentral:lncRNA from 1 species